rnacentral:rRNA from 1 species
AGAGUUUGAUCAUGGCUCAGAGCGAACGCUGGCGGCGUACUUAACACAUGCAAGUCGUACGAGGAUCGUCGGGUUAGCAAUAAUUCGGCGGUUCGAGUGGCGCACGGGUGAGUAACACGUGGGUAACCCACCCUUGAGACCGGGAUACCCUCUCGAAAGGGAGGCUAAUACUGGAUACGUUCCCUGGGACGCAAGAUCUGGGGAGGAAAGGUGGCGAAAGCUGCCGCUCUUGGAGGGGCUCGCGGCCUAUCAGCUAGUUGGUGAGGUAACGGCUCACCAAGGCUAUGACGGGUAGCUGGUCUGAGAGGACGACCAGCCACACGGGAACUGAGACACGGUCCCGACUCCUACGGGAGGCAGCAGUGGGGAAUUUUCCGCAAUGGGCGAAAGCCUGACGGAGUGACGCCGCGUGGGGGACGAAGGCCUUCGGGUCGUAAACCCCUGUCAGAGGGAAAGAAGGGUGUCGGCGUGAAUAGCGCCGGCAUUUGACGGUACCUUCAGAGGAAGCCCCGGCCAACUCUGUGCCAGCAGCCGCGGUAAGACAGAGGGGGCAAGCGUUGCUCGGAAUCACUGGGCGUAAAGGGCGCGUAGGCGGGAUGGCAAGUCGGUCGUGAAAUCCUUCGGCUCAACCGAAGAACGUCGGCCGAUACUGCCGUUCUUGAGGGAUGCAGAGGAGAUUGGAAUUCCCGGUGUAGCGGUGAAAUGUGUAGAGAUCGGGAGGAACACCGGUGGCGAAGGCGGGUCUCUGGGCAUCUCCUGACGCUGAGGCGCGAAAGCGUGGGGAGCAAACGGGAUUAGAUACCCUAGUAGUCC